rnacentral:miRNA from 1 species
UUCUGAGGGGACGGUAGAUUUGGGG